rnacentral:rRNA from 6 species
UUUGGUGGCGAUGGCGGAGGGGAACCACGCGUACCCAUCCCGAACACGACCGUUAAGCCCUCCAGCGCCGAUGGUACUUGGACCGCAGGGUCCUGGGAGAGUAGGACGUUGCCAAGC